rnacentral:rRNA from 1 species
UACGGAGGGUGCGAGCGUUGUCCGGAAUCACUGGGCGUAAAGGGCGCGUAGGCGGCUCGGUAAGCGUGCGGUGAAAGCCCGGGGCUCAACCCCGGGUCGGCCGUGCGAACUGGCGAGCUGGAGCACUGUAGAGGCGGGUGGAAUUCCGGGUGUAGCGGUGGAAUGCGUAGAGAUCCGGAAGAACACCGGUGGCGAAGGCGGCCCGCUGGGCAGUGGCUGACGCUGAUGCGCGACAGCGUGGGGAGCAAACAGG